UGGGGAAUCUUCCGCAAUGGGGCGCAAGCCUGACGGAGCAACGCCGCGUGAGUGAAGAAGGGUUUCGACUCGUAAAGCUCUGUUGUCGGGGACGAAUGUGGAGAUGGUGAAUAACCAUUUCCAAUGACGGUACCUGACGAGGAAGCCACGGCUAACUACGUGCCAGCAGCCGCGGUAAUACGUAGGUGGCGAGCGUUGUCCGGAAUUAUUGGGCGUAAAGGGAGCGCAGGCGGGAGGUCAAGUCUAUCUUAAAAGUGCGGGGGCUACCCGUACCG
rnacentral:rRNA from 1 species